GCUCUGCAGAUGGCUCAGUUUGUAGAGCAUGAGACUCUUAGUCUCAGGGUUGUGGGUUCCAGCCCCACAAGGAGCA